AUUUGGAAACCAUCUAAUUUGCAAUUGUCCAUUAGUCGACAUUUUCCGCUUGGCGAAAAGAAGACGAUUGCAGUUGGCUCGGUACCUUUCCUGCCAAAACCCCGUGACUCUAAGAAAUACAUGGCUGAAUGACCUUAUACUUCAAGAAAUAGUUUGUGAUUCAGAUUCCACCACUGGUAUUACCAGCGCGAAAACAACAGUUCCCGAUUCCACCACUGGUUCUACCGGCGUGGAUACAACAGUUACUGAUUUCAUCCCAGUUUCCACUGAUGCAGAAACUGUCUUUUCGACAAUAACCGGAUUUGGCAAGUAUUCAACAUGUACCAAACAUUUUGAAUAUUGUAUAAAACACUGAAUUGUAAAGUAGCAAUUUACAGUAUACGUCAAUGAUACAUGAUGCAUGAAUUUAUCAGCAAUGAAUGACAUUGUAUCUCUUGCCGCUAACAUCAUUGAAAACAUCAAUUUGAAAUGGCUUUAAAGCUUGAAGAAUUCCAAUCCACCAGGUAAACUCCUUGUGUAGAGAUUGGAUUAUUGUCCAAUAUCUAAACUGCCCUCGGCAUCGGAAGUAAGUUUGUUAUUUCAUGUAGUUAUUUACAAAUAGUAUGACAUACCCUAUAAAUGCAUAUACAUGUGCAUAUAUAUAUAUAUAUAUAUAUAUAUAUAUAUAUAUAUAUAUAUGUACAGAUACAUCUCUAAUGUUAACAAUUUGUCCCACAUACUAUUGUGUACCGUGAGUAGGAUCUAAUUUGAUGCGAUUUCGAAUGACUUUUAAACAUUACAGACAUCUGACAUUUGUCUACAUAAUCAGAUCUGUCUUGUUUGAUAUGCCGCUGAUUAAGGUGUUGUCAGUAGAACGUGGAAACAGUCAUCAUUCUCAUACAGCUGACAAUACGAGUCAACUGAAUCUAUGCGUGAUCCUGAUUAAUUGUAAAGUUGCUUUUUUUUUUACCUGGGGUCCACUUGCACAACAAUUUACUGUUAGUUAUUGUCUCAAAAGUAGCAUAUCGUCAUGUGAUUAGGAAAAAAUGAUGAUACCUUUAUACAUUUUAAAUAAAUUUCCGUAAUGUAAUAUAUAUUAUAAAACAGCAUCAACUUUUUUCAUUUAUGUAUUGAAAUCCAUCAAAAGGACACACUGUAUAAAAUGAAUGUGAUCAAUUAGAACAGCUCACAAAUCAAUAAAACCAUGGAAGAUUCACCAAUACACUGCUACCUAGAGACUGUAGUAGACAUACAUCCCUGUCUUCAGCGCUGAUGGGCCUUUAUAUCCAUAUAUUCAACUCUGGUGUGUAUUUAUAUUCCAUUUGUCAAUGCUGGUGAGUAAAACUAUUUUCUCUCUCUAUGGAAUAAACUACUAUAAAGCAAAACAUCUUUAACGUAACUAUGUAAAAAGUUACACGUUUACUUGUUAUGUACAAGUUCACCUUUUGUUUGGUGUCUAUAAGGUAUAAUUUUACUCGGUAUGUGUUUAUGAUGUCAUACGUUUUCUCGGUAUAUACAUCGUAUACGUUCACUUGGUAUGUUCAAGUCCCACUUUUACUUUAGUUAUAAGUCUACUCUGUGUGUAUAAGGCAUGCGUUUACAUCGUCUAUACAAGUUAUUCGUUUACUCGCUGUACGCGUAUUUUGUACGUCUGGAGAGAUGAGGGAUCGAAUAAAAAAUCACAUUAUUUUCAUGUUUAUUACACUUAUUACAAUGACGACAAUAAUCACAAACAUGUAAUACGGUAAGUUUUAAAUAUUAUUUUAUCAUUUAUUUCUAUUAUCGUAUUUGAACAUUUCAGGACAUCAGAAAAGAAGAAGAUGUGACUGUUGGGUAAACAAUGGCGUGGUCUGCUGUGGGUUUUUUCUUUGGAUCGGUCGGUGACAGAUACUAACGGGCGGAUUAAAAUCCAGACACACAGAUGGGAUUCGAGCAUUCUACAUUCCACGCAUAAUUCAGAAGCUCUAUCCACUACGCCGCUGGCGUUGACGACAUCUGUUGAAAUAAGCAUUACAUCACCAGUAAGAGACACACCAAUAUCGUCAUUUGAUGAUUUGCCCACUGGACAUGCCACGACUGCCACUCCAGUUCACUCGGCUGUACAUUGAAUUAGUAUUGGCUUCGGCUGGAGAGAGAGUUCAGACUCUGAUGGACUGGUCUCUCACUCUGCGGGAAUCUGUUGCUCUUAUCCGUUAACCACUUAUCAUUCCGAGGAACGACCAUAACCUGCAUUCCCUAUGGUGAACUGAAAAUACUUCAAGUGAAAAUUGCCACAGGAUGACAAAGACAUCUCAUGAUGGAGACGUCACCAAUGCCGGUGAAGGGCUUCAAAAUUUAGGUCUAUGAUUGGAGCUUACAACUUUUGAGCAGGGGGUCUUUAUUUUACCACACCUGCUGUGACACAGGACCUCGGGUUUUCUCGUCUUAUCCGAAGGACCGCCCCAUUUAGUCGCCUCUUGCGACAAGCAGAGAUAUUGAGGACCUAUUCUAACUUGGAUCAUCACGGAGGUGCAUCGGCCAUAAUCACAUCCACAAAGAUUUAAUUCCACAAGAAAUCAACAACCAACCAAAAGGACGGGCACAAAAUUGUGUACACUCGAUUUAAAAUAUGCAUUGUUAAAUGACGCAUUUGACUGGAUGGGUUAAUGUUUUGAAAGUUCGAAAGUUUUAAAAAGAAUGGUUCCCAUCAACCACGUACCUCAAAUCGCUUGAAUGGACCCUACUUUAGUGUUUGGCGGUGUGAUACGAGAUUUGUGAUUCAUCAGUUUUAAAUACAGUUCAUGUUUACCUGUAAAUUCGUCAUCAUCAUAUUAACACAUGUGUUGUAUAGAGAUUAUUUAAUUUAAUAAGUGAACAAAUCACUAAAAUUCCUACUGCACUUACAGGACACAACAGGUAAUUCGGAGAUAAUUACAUUACAGUACUCAUCGUUUAUCAGGAUGUACGAGUUUCUAAUGAUUUUCGCUUUGUUUUCUGGAGUUCAGGACGGUGUUUUAGUACAAAAAAAGGAAGCGUAUUAUGAUUUUAGUAUCAUUUUCACCAUAUGUGCUGUAUCCCUGUUAUGGUAUUCUGUACAUUUUGAUUUGCUUCAUUUCCACUGUAUAACCUAGCUAUCUUUUUGAAAUUCAAUUUUGAUUUUAACAAAUUUUGUUAAAUGUAGUAGUGACAUUUUUUUUCCUAAAUGACGAAUGAAUUUGCAUUAAGGUUGAUCGAUCCUCAUGUGAUGUCAUAGGGUUUUGCGAAAAUCUUAAUAAUUUAAACUUUGCGCAUGAUAGAAAUAUACCUUUCUUAGGAAUUUUAUUCACUGGAUAUAGUAAAUAAUCUGGUAAACAAUUAAUACUGAAAAGUUUAUAUUUUCCAUAGAUAAUCAAUUAUUUAUGAUUAAAAAAUUUUUGUCAAGGGCAAUAACUCCUAUGCUGCAAUUUCCUUUACUGGAUGUCUAUUAUACAUUGGUUUCCCUAAAAUCCACAAUUAAUCUAUACAUAUUUAUGAAUUAGCAGUGUUUUAAAACUGUUGAUAUUUAAAUUUUGUCAUUUCAACAAGUUCUUAUUUAUUUUUAUUAUUCUGUUUAACGAAAAUGUGUGAUUUUCUGAUGUUGAUGUGUACUUCUGUUUUCGUGUAUCUGACCUUUUAAAAAAGGUGGCAACAUACACAUUUUCUUUGGUCAUUAAUUAAAUAAAACUAUAAUGAGUGGAAAUUUAUAAUUUUUUUCCACUUUUAACCAUUAAUAUUGAUAAGUCAAAUGAGGAUGGAGCGACCUUAAAUGAAUCCUUUGAAUACAAAGGGAUUGUGAGCGACCCAAUACGAUCGAUAUUAUAUUAGAAUGUAUUUAUGGGUUUAAUGUAUGUUUUUAUCAUUUAUGUCGAAUCUAUUUCUUUUGUAUACCAUCUUAUCUAAUAAAUGCAUGCUUUACCUGGAAAUUACGCAUGUGAAUUUAAUAAUGUGUGUUGAGCAUUGGCUACAGAGAAUAGAUUAUUGAUCUUAUUUUCAUGAAAAUGAUAGACCCAUUUAUUUGAAAAUUCGUUGGAGAUUUGUUACACACAGAGUGAGACAACUUAGACCCCACAGCAUAUUCAAUGAUUAGUUCGAAUUCAAAUAUAUUAUUUUCUGCAAUUAAUCUGAGAAAAUAACUCAGAUCUGCAGUGGACAGGGGUUGGACUCUUAAUGUAUUCAACUCUCGAAUAACAUGUGUAUGUAAGCCAGGUAACCGAUGUGGUAUCGAACGUUCAUUGUGAAAUCUGAACUGUCUUUAAUAAUUGUGCUCAAAGUAUGUCUGAUAGGUGUUAAAAUGGUAAAUAUUGCUGUUGUAUGGUGCAUUUAUUUAAAAUAUAAGAUGGAAUGAUAGGGUUUUUGCAGCAUCUAUAAUUUUUCUAUGGAACUAAAGAUUUCAAUAUCAAGACUGUGUAUGUUUCAAUUUUAUGUCCAGUAAAACUCAGUAAAUCUUUUUCUUACACUUCGUUGUAACAGCUUUCAAAACUGUAUAAUUUUGAUUUUCCGGCGGCAAAUGUAAAGAUACUGUCUAAUUUUUUUACCCGGAUUACCCAAAGGCGAAAAUUA